rnacentral:misc_RNA from 1 species
AUAAGACGCCCCAAGAGGCGUUUCAUUCCAGGGGCCUUUGACAAGCCGCCCAAACCGAACGUUGGCCGUUCUGCGGGGAAGUACACCGGCCUCAAAGGCCGGUUGAACCCCCCGAGGGAGUCUGAUUGCAAGCGCUUUCCUUUCUACCAAUUUUAACCGCUGUUCAAGUAUGUUUUCAAAGUGAAUUUAUGCAUAUCAAUAAGCGGAGGAAAAGAAACCAACUGGGAUUGCCCUAGUAACGUCGAGUGAAGCGGCAAGAGCUCAAAUGUGAAAGCUGGCUCCUUCGGGGUCCGCAUUGUAAUUUGCAGAGGAUGCUUCGGGAGCGGUCCCCAUCUAAGUGCCCUGGAACGGGCCGUCAUAGAGGGUGAGAAUCCCGUAUGGGAUGGGGUGCCCGCGCCCGUGUGAAGCUCCUUCGACGAGUCGAGUUGUUUGGGAAUGCAGCUCUAAUUGGGUGGUAAAUUUCAUCUAAAGCUAAAUAGCGGCCGGAGACCGAUAGCGCUGGAAGUAAAAGUCGUAACAAGGUUUCCGUAGGUGAACCUGCGGAAGGAUCAUUACUGAGUGAGGGCCCCUCGGGGUCCAACCUCCCACCCGUGUUUAACGUACCUUGUUGCUUCGGCGGGCCCGCCUCACGGCCGCCGGGGGGCAUCCGCCCCCGGGCCCGCGCCCGCCGAAGCCACCUGUGAACGCUGUCUGAAGUAUGCAGUCUGAGACAAUUAUUAAAUUAAUUAAAACUUUCAACAACGGAUCUCUUGGUUCCGGCAUCGAUGAAGAACGCAGCGAAAUGCGAUAACUAAUGUGAAUUGCAGAAUUCAGUGAAUCAUCGAGUCUUUGAACGCACAUUGCGCCCUCUGGUAUUCCGGAGGGCAUGCCUGUCCGAGCGUCAUUGCUGCCCUCCAGCCCGGCUGGUGUGUUGGGCCCCGCCCCCCUUCCCGGGGGGGGCGGGCCCGAAAGGCAGCGGCGGCACCGCGUCCGGUCCUCGAGCGUAUGGGGCUUUGUCACCCGCUCUUGCAGGCCCGGCCGGCGCCAGCCGACCCCCUCAAUCUAUUUUUUCAGGUGACCUCGGAUCA